AGUGAACGCUGGCGGUAGGCCUAACACAUGCAAGUCGAACGGCAGCACAGUAAGAGCUUGCUCUUACGGGUGGCGAGUGGCGGACGGGUGAGGAAUACAUCGGAAUCUACUUUUUCGUGGGGGAUAACGUAGGGAAACUUACGCUAAUACCGCAUACGACCUACGGGUGAAAGCAGGGGAUCUUCGGACCUUGCGCGAUUGAAUGAGCCGAUGUCGGAUUAGCUAGUUGGCGGGGUAAACGCCCACCAAGGCGACGAUCCGUAGCUGGUCUGAGAGGAUGAUCAGCCACACUGAAACUGAAGCACGGUCCAGACUCCUACGAGAGGCCGCAGUGGGGAAUAUUGGACAAUGGGCGCAAGCCUGAUCCAGCCAUACCGCGUGGGUGAAGAAGGCCUUCGAGUUGUAAAGCCCUUUUGUUGGGAAAGAAAAGCAGCAGGUUAAUACCCCGCUGUUCUGACGGUACCCAAAGAAUAAGCACCGGCUAACUUCGUG
rnacentral:rRNA from 1 species